rnacentral:rRNA from 1 species
GAUGAACGCUGGCGGCGUGCCUAAUACAUGCAAGUCGAGCGAACAGGCGAGGAGCUUGCUCCUUUGACGUUAGCGGCGGACGGGUGAGUAACACGUAGGUAACCUACCUAUAAGACUGGGAUAACUUCGGGAAACCGGAGCUAAUACCGGAUAAUAUUUCGAACCGCAUGGUUCGAUAGUGAAAGAUGGCUUUGCUAUCACUUAUAGAUGGACCUGCGCCGUAUUAGCUAGUUGGUAAGGUAACGGCUUACCAAGGCAACGAUACGUAGCCGACCUGAGAGGGUGAUCGGCCACACUGGAACUGAGACACGGUCAAGACUCCUACGGGAGGCAGCAGUAGGGAAUCUUCCGCAAUGGGCGAAAGCCUGACGGAGCAACGCCGCGUGAGUGAUGAAGGUCUUCGGAUCGUAAAACUCUGUUAUUAGGGAAGAACAAACGUGUAAGUAACUGUGCACGUCUUGACGGUACCUAAUCAGAAAGCCACGGCUAACUACGUG